CUAAGGCCAGCCGGGUUGGAGGGGGAGGAUCCUCAAAGUGCGCGAGCUGGGGGAGAUGUGGUCUUAGGAAGGUUUGCGCUGGUCUCCUGGGGAAGGGGACUCAGCGCAGGACUGAGGCAGUGGCAUACCGCGGAAACAAGUUCCUUCGGUAGUAAAUGUCCCUACACUGGUUCCUACAGGUGGCCUUGGGUUUAUGCUGGAAGGCGGGGGAGGCAGCUCCUUUGUUCCUGGGGGAGUCUCCCUAGGAUCUCUGCCCCUCCAGACAUGCUCGGAGAUUAGUAAAUAACUCUCCCUCCCAGGCAUUUUUCAAAAUCCUGCUUUGAUGUUGUAUCUGCACAGGCUGUCUUUUGUCCUGUUUCUUUAAGGGACUCGGUUUCCUUUUGGCCUCUGGUUCUCCCAGAGCCGAGCCUGCUGAUUUUUAAAAUUCUAGGUUUUUGAGUUCCGCCGGUUGUAAGAACUCAUGUAAUUUGGCCCCUCCGGUUUUCAAAGCCAGAUGUUGCGGGGGUUUGUCCCCGCUGUGAGUGCUCCCCAGUGUGACAGUCUGUUUCUCCCCCUUCCCACCCUCUUUGAUGCGGCCUCUUUACUUUCAGUUGUAGAGGUUCUUCUGCCAGUCUUCGGGCCAUUUUCUGGGUUAUUUACACAGAUGUGUCACCUAGUUGUAUCUGUGGGUGAGGCAAGCUUCCCAGCCUCUUUCCUAAAUACGGUGUUUCAUUUCUGCUUAACAGAACAUCUCAAUUUGGACCAGUCACAUUUUAAGUGCUACCCUGUCAUUGGUUGCUACUGUAGACAGUACAGAUCUAGGAAUUUAGCUUCUCAUGUAAUUUUUCUACCCAGGCAGAGGAUUUUCCUGGGCCCACUGCCAUCCAUACAUGGCUCUUUGAAAGCUAUACCUAGCUGUUACUGUAAAGAAAGAAACUGGCCUUUGGGAGUUUUGUACAUCAGACUUUUGUGCGUUUGGUUAGUGGGAGUCGGUACCUUUGGCCAAUCAGCUUGGAGUACUCCCAGGACCUAAUUCUUUGUUGUGUUAUGGCUACAAGCCAGAGGUCUUUUUUCUCCCCCCAAGUUCAUUUGUUUUGAGAGAGAGGAGCAGGGACAGAGGGAAAGAGAGAGAAUCCCAGGCAGCGUGGAGCCUGAUGCUGGGCUCGAGCUCACAAACUGUGAGCCUCCCAGGCGCCCCAAGGAGCCAGACGUCUUACUGUGGUGAAUCCCCAAGACGGUUCCUCUCCCUGGGAACGUGGCUGUGGCAAAAUGACGUCCCUUAGGCGGCUCCCCUACCUUCCUCCACCUCUUCUGUGCUUUGAGCCCCUCCGCUCCUCGGGCUUAGCGUACUGUGCCUCUCAGUUCAGCUGAUACUUUUUGGGUAGCCUUCCGGCUUCCCAUCCAGCUAGUUGUGAAUGGUUACAAGUUUCUCUACCAUAAAUGCUAUGAGUAUUGACUUAAUGAUUUAAAACGUUACCCCCCCUCCUAACUUUGGGGCCGAGUCUGAGCCUGUCGGGUGUGCUGGGUAGCGUGAGUGGCCCUCUGUCCUCCUGAACCACUCCCAGGACUUUAAAGUGACUGUGUCCCAGAGAAGGGGACGGCAAGAAGGGGAACCUCAGAAUCUCUUGCCAGGUGAGCCGGUCUACAGAGCCCGUCCUGCUGUCCCAGCAGCGUCCUGGUGGGAAGCCAGGAGCUGAGCAGAUGCGCACUGUGUGGCGGGGCCCUCCCCGGCCAGCCCCUCCCCUGGGCCAUCAGGUCGCUCCCCUUUCUGAACUCUGUCGCCAUCCCCUCGCCCCCUGAUCUCACCACCUUCUUCUUCUACCUACUUAACACUGUGCUUCACAGACGGCUCAUCCCAAGGAUCACCUGGCUGCUGCUUGAAGAUACAGGCGACCAGGCCAGUCUAGGGGCCUGUCCUAAUGAGACUGGGUUUAGAGGACAGCGUUUUAGAGGGUCUGCUCUCGGGCGCCUGGGUGGCUCAGUCGGCUGAGUGUCUGUCUGACUCUUGACUUCGGCUCAGGUCAUGAUCUCAUGGUUCGUGGGUUCGAGCCCCGCACAGGGCUCUGCACUGACAGUGUGGAGCCUGCUUGGGAUUCUCUCUCUCCCUCUUUCUCUCUGCCCUUCUCCCGUUCUCUCUCUCAAAAUAAAUAAACUUAAAAAAAUUAAAAAAAAGUGUUCUCCAGCUCACAGAGGGACCAGGAGGAAAAGGCCACAAAUGCACAGCUGUCCUGACUGCUUGUGGGUCAGUGUUCUGUCACCACCUUCCGAAACUCACCAUACCCCACUUACUCGCCUGCGUGGACCCUCUGCUCCGGCCAAAGCAGGCACACUCGGGGAUUCACCCAACCCCAGUCACGGCUCUCGGAAGAAACACGACUGAAUGGAUUGGAAGAUGGAUGGGUAAGUGCACUGCACAAAUUGCACGGAUUUGAUAAGCUAAGGCUACAGCAAAGCUCCUGGAGGUAAUUACCAAGAGAGACCUGUGUACCACAGUCACAGACCUGCGUAAUGUGACAGGCAAAGGCCUUGCUCACAUUCGUGACUGUUCUAUGAAACUCUGUGUUUCAUUUGAUCACAAGCUGGCACGUAAUUUGGAAACGACCAAAUACGGUCUUCGACACGCCUUUCUGUCCUUUCUCCUGGUUUCCCUCCAUCUAAACCGGCAGGCAGGGGUGGGGAGAAGGAAAUGAACAGAUAAAACAAAA